UUUUGUCUCUUUGGCUCAGGCUCCUCCGGAAGAGGUGGUGGUGCCUCCGAGGGUGGUGGGGGAGGAGGCAUCCCAGGCAUAGAUGGUGGUUGCAUCAUCCCCAUUGGAGGUGGUGGAUGCUGACCAUAAGGUCUAGGAACUUGCAUAUGAGGAAACUGAGAUCCUGGUGGAGGCGGCACAGGCAUACCAGACUGCAUUUGUGGUGGUCGGUUCAUCAUCAUUGAAGGGUGUCCAGGUGGCCCAGGCAUUGAGAGCUGGUGUUGCUGAUGCAUUGGCUGCAUCAUUGGAACACCAAGUGGCCUCAGUACACCAGGGUACUGAACAGUAGGAGGAGGACGAGGGAGGUUCAAGGCGAGAUUAGCAGGUGGUGGCAGUGGCCGGACUGUUGGGACACCUGGUCGAGGAGGAGGAAGAGCAGCUGGACCAGGGAAGCUAUUGGGAUCUCCAUAAACACCAUCACCUUGCUCCUCUCCAUUAGCGUUCUGAGUCAAGGCUUGGUUUGCUGUGCGACCGAUACUUCCUGUGUGACCAUCCCAUAUUACUUGCUUUGGCUGCUCAUCUUUCUUCUUCUCAAUCUCUGCUUUUACAGCAUUUGAGACUUCUUCUUCGGUUGUUCCAAAGAUAUCAGGACGCAGGCGGGCCAACCCAACAAUGUUUUUAGCAAUUUCAUCAUCCUGUGCAAGUGUGGUCUCACGAAUCUUAGCAAACAUCCGAUCCUUCUGCUCUUUGAACUUAGGAUCAAUAAGGGAAAUUCGCAUGUGCUCAGACAUCUCGUUAAUGGGAAUCAAUUCGCCAGUAAUUGGUGAUAUAACAACUUUAGUUGGAUCUCUUUCCGUCGGGAUUCUGUCUUCUGGCCUCUUCCAGUUCUUAACAAUUCGCAUAGGUGCUUCUUCAUCAUGUAUAUUUUCAAUCUUAACAUUCUCUUCUAGGUUUGCUGCUCUCAUUCCUUCUGCAACAAGCUUAACUUCUUCUUCGUCCAUUUCCAUUUCAACCUCCUUUCCAGGCUCAACAAUUUCAUCUUCUUCCAUCGCAGAUACUUUGCUCCUCCUUAUCACCUCGUCAAGUGUCAUAGGCGGUGGCAACUCUUCAUCUUCCUCAUCCGCAAAAUCUAUAGACUCAACAACCGCAAAAUCAUGCCAAUCAAUCAUAGCCAUCUGCACCCGCUCCUGCUCUUUCUCAUCCUCUUCUUUCUUCUUCUGCUGCUCCUGGGAACGAUCCCAUUCAAGACGAUGCAAACAACGCUCAAGAACGGUAGUCAAAUCAGCAGCACUCUUUCUCAACUUUUCUUUCAAAUCUUUGGGAGGCAUUAAUACUUCGGAAUACGCAUCAACCAGAGAAGUAAAAAAAGUGAACAUGCUAUGUGUUGGCUUAAUAAACUGAAACUGAAGAUUGUUGUUCUCUCUAGUCGUCAACCCCGUUAAAAACGACUUCCCAUUCCGUGCCACGAACUGGGCAGUGAGCUUAAUAAUAUCAAGCUCCUCACCUGUGAUCCCUUCAGGAAGUCUAACUGUAUACUUCUCAGGCUCUGGAGGUUCUAGAGGCUUAGGAGGAAUCCUAAACUGAGCCUGAAGGUCAGGUUGUGCAUCACCUGCUUCAGACUCAUCGGCAGCAGCAGCUGCAGCAUCAAGUUGGGGAUGAUCUGUACCAUCUGAAUCAUCAGUACCCUGAGCUCCGUCUUUAUUCUGAGCACGGUAUUCAGUGAGCUUAUGCUGGUAAAAGGCAUGAUAAGGAUCUACGCUCUUCAAAAAGUUGAAUUUAGCAUUCUUUUCGUUACUGGCUAUAAUCCUCUUUUCAAACUCCAACCCGUUUUUCGAAACAAACUGAGCCGUUUUCUCGACAAUAGUUCUGAUAUCAGGAGGUGGAUGAAUGAUACCGAUAGUCCUAGUGUGAGUGGCAACAGCCGCAGGAGCAUGAUUUGAGUUGUUUCGCUCUGCUUGCAACUCCCUCUCUUCGACUUCCUGAUCUGUUAGCUGCGAAGGAGGCAGUGGACCUAAGUUCCCAUCGGUAGGAGGAGCCUCCAGUGGCAAUAUCUCCAUCGAACUCAACAUUAUUCUGCAACCAAAAUAUAUCAAAGUUUAGGAUUAACUCAUCUCGACCUAAUUCAUUUGUUCUAGAAACUACCAAUUCUACUGAAAUGGAUUGAUAAAGAGUAACUAAAAAUAGCAAAAACUAUUGAGUACUUCAAUUGAGAGAAGGUAUAAAUCCUAGAAACUAAGAUGCGAGAGAAAGAGAAUGAUAGGAGGAAAAGAAGAAGUAAUCGGCGACGGGGAGAAGCACAGCUAAGGGUUUGGAGAGAUGUAAGAAAGACCGUACCUCAGCCGGUAAGGAACAGCCUCGCCGCGAGAACCACCGUGACGUCGGGAAGAAGCGGAGCGCGAACCAGCACGAGAUGUGAAAUUUACAAAGACGAUUUGAUGAAGAUCGAUAGAAAAUUACAGAAGCCAAACCAGAAAAUGAAAAUGAGCCCUAGGAUUUAUGAACGAAACUCUUAUUCUGUUGGCUUAUGGGCCUUUAACGGGCUCGAACUUCGGUAGAAAGCUUUGGAUCCGACGCGAUUUGAAAUUAGAUGAACAUUGAGUGUGAAUUGAAUGAAAUACGUAGUUUAAUCCAACCUUUCUUCUGUUUUUUUUGGCUAAUCAUGUUUUUCAUUUUUACUCUACACAGUUAGUGCUUUUGAAUAGCAACAUCAGAAUCAGUGUACUAAACAUUUUCGACUGUUUGUUGAUCCAAAGUUUCAAACGCAAACUCAUUUGUUUUCCUAAAGAUCGAUCCACUUUGUCUCAGAAAUAAAUUAAAGAAUAUAGAUGAUUUGUUGUUUUACAAUUAUAACCAUCUCAAUUUUCAUUAUAAGGUACUUGCUUUUAAUGUCAGCGUCUAUUGAUUUUUCUUGUUCAAAGUGGUUUGCUAAACAGAGAACUUUAAACAAUUUUUCUUUUUAUAACCAGACAACCAAAUCUACAAAGUUUAUGCAUACGAAUCAAUGGAUGAUGGUGUUUAGGUUUUAUGACUAAUGAGCAAGGAAUUCAGAAAGCAUAAGCACCGUUCCUCGAGUCUCUUCUAAUUCAGCUCCAAUAUAUUGGGAGGCAUUAAUAGUUCCAUAUAAGUUAAUACAUCAACAAAAUCGUGAAAAAAAACUGAAUACUCUUACGACGUGAUCAAUCCCUUGACGAAACGAUCUCCCAUUCUGACUGUACUGUGACCUUGAUAAUAUCAAGCUACUUGCUCGUGAUCCCUUCAACAAGUCUAAUUGUAUACUAACCCUAUCAAAAACUUGAUCUGAGCAUCUUACAAAAUUAAAAUUUGCAUUAUGGAUACUACUAUCUAUAAUCCGUUUCUCAUAUUCUGCUCUGAACUCGUGUUUGUAAACAGAACUUAGACGACACAAGAGUUAUGGUCUCUGGAGGUGGCAGCAUCAGAGUCGAACAGAACUUUUUUCUAUAACCAGAAGAGAAAACCCAUUUUUAAAUCCUACAAGGUUCGCAAUGUUUCACCUUUCACCUAACAUCAUAGCUAUUCUAAUUAUGUGCAUACCUGCGACAAUGAUCAACAUGUGGGAACAAGCAAAGCGACAUCCUCAUAUGGUACCUACAAAGAAGAGGAAGAAGAUUUCAUUUAAAAGCUUAACAAAGUGAACAACGCACAAAGCAGAGUAUCAAAUAUGUUAUUUUUAAGUUUACAGAGCAAAACGUUGCCCCAGAACUAGCUGCAAAUCCAAAACAAACUUAAGUCAGUAAUAGCAGAGAGAUGUGACGAGUAGGGCAAUGAGGCCUGCACUAGAGACUAGAGAGCAGUACAAAUACUUUUCGCCACCAACAAAAAACAUCUAAUAAAGAACAAGAAUUAAGAGGUUAAAAAGCAUUUCCCUGUAUCAACCAAACGGUCUCUAUCUCUUUCUCCCACCACGUUCUCGCAAAGACAGUGUUAGGAUUUCUCCUGCUUCCACAUUGUAAUGCGCAAGUGACAUGUUGUCCUUUAAGAAUCCAGAUUUCCCACUUAACUUCUGUUUGUUUGCAGGAGUUUGUGUCUCCCCUGCUAUUUUCUCCUUCAAACUUCCCACAUUUUCGGACAACGACUGCACUGUGAUCUCAAUGACUUUCCUAUCAUCCCCGUUUAGCACAGAAACCUUGAUUCUAUACGACAAAUACUUUUGGGCUUCCAUGAUCAGUACGCGUGGCCCCGUUCAAAUCGUGACCAUCCAAUCUACCCUGAAAAUGUAUAAAACAGGUAAGACAAUUCAGGGGAAAGAAAAAUGGAUAAGAAAAUGAUUUAAGAGUCUGAAAAACACAUUACCGGAUGUUGAGCAAGAAACUGGUCUUCAGGAACAAGGGAUGACUCCUCAAACUUUUGUCUCUUUGGCUCAGGCUCCUCAGUAAGAGAUGCAGGAGACAUCCCAGGCAUAGGUAGUUGUUGCAUCAUCCCCAUUGAAGGCAGUGGAAGCUGAUCAUAAGGUCUAGGAACUAGCAUAUGAGCAAACUGAGAUCCUGGUCGAGGGGGAACAUGCAUACCAGGCUGUAUUUGUGUUGGUCGGUUCAUCAUCAUCAAAGGGUGUCCAGGUGGCCCGACCAUCGAGAGCUGGUGUU
rnacentral:lncRNA from 1 species